AUUGAACGCUGGCGGCAUGCCUUACACAUGCAAGUCGAACGGUAACAGGUCUUCGGAUGCUGACGAGUGGCGAACGGGUGAGUAAUAUAUCGGAACGUGCCCAGUCGUGGGGGAUAACGCAGCGAAAGCUGUGCUAAUACCGCAUACGAUCUAUGGAUGAAAGCGGGGGAUCGCAAGACCUCGCGCGAUUGGAGCGGCCGAUAUCAGAUUAGGUAGUUGGUGGGGUAAAGGCCCACCAAGCCAACGAUCCGUAGCUGGUCUGAGAGGAUGAUCAGCCACACUGGAACUGAGACACGGUCCAGACUCCUACGGGAGGCAGCAGUAGGGAAUAUUGGACAAUGGGCGCAAGCCUGAUCCAGCCAUGCCGCGUGAGUGAAGAAGGCCCUCGGGUUGUAAAGCUCUUUUGUCCGGAAAGAAAAGCGCCGGGUUAAUACCCUGGUGUCCUGACGGUACCGGAAGAAUAAGCACCGGCUAACUUCGUGCCAGC
rnacentral:rRNA from 1 species